rnacentral:rRNA from 1 species
GACAGAGGUGCCGAGCGUUAGGCGGAAUCACUGGGCUUAAAGCGUGUGUAGGCGGAUCGUUAAGUGCCUUGUGAAAUCCCAUGGCUUAACCAUGGAACUGCUUGGCAUACUGGCGGUCUUGAGCCACUUAGGGGCAACCGGAACAAAUGGUGGAGCGGUGAAAUGCGUAGAUAUGCGGAGGAACACCGAUGGCGAAGGCAAUCCCCUGGACCUGUACUGACGCUCAUGCA